rnacentral:rRNA from 1 species
AGUGAACGCUGGCGGUAGGCCUAACACAUGCAAGUCGAACGGCAGCACAGAGGAGCUUGCUCCUUGGGUGGCGAGUGGCGGACGGGUGAGGAAUACAUCGGAAUCUACUCUGUCGUGGGGGAUAACGUAGGGAAACUUACGCUAAUACCGCAUACGACCUACGGGUGAAAGCAGGGGACCUUCGGGCCUUGCGCGAUUGAAUGAGCCAAUGUCGGAUUAGCUAGUUGGCGGGGUAAAGGCCCACCAAGGCGACGAUCCGUAGCGGGUCUGAGAGGAUGAUCAGCCACACUGGAACUGAGACACGGUCCAGACUCCUACGGGAGGCAGCAGUGGGGAAUAUUGGACAAUGGGCGCAAGCCUGAUCCAGCCAUACCGCGUGGGUGAAGAAGGCCUUCGGGUUGUAAAGCCCUUUUGUUGGGAAAGAAAUCCAGCUGGCUAAUACCCGGUUGGGAUGACGGUACCCAAAGAAUAAGCACCGGCUAACUUCGUGCCAGCAGCCGCGGUAA